GCUAUUGGAGUCCGAUUAAGACAUGCGAGUCGAGAGCUUUCGGAGCUCGGCAUACUGCUCAGUAACACGUGGGUAACCUGCCCUGUGCUGGGGGAUAACCUCGGGAAACUGAGAACAAUACCCCAUAGUCCACUACGCCUGGAACGGUGAGUGGAUGAAAGCCCCGGCGGCACAGGAUGGGCCUGCGGCGUAUCAGGUAGUAGGGGGUGUAAAGUACCCUCUAGCCUUCGACGCGUACGGGUUGUGAGAGCAAUAGCCCGGAGAUGGAUUCUGAGACACGAAUCCAGGUCCUACGGGACGCAGCAGUCGCGAAACCUUGACAAUGCGGGAAACCGUGAUCAGGGGACUCCAAGUGCCAGGAGUAAGAUCCUGUGCUUUUCUUUUCUCUUCAAAGGAUUUGGGAUAAGAGGUGGGUAAGGACGGUGCCAGCCGCCGCGGUAAUACCGGCGCCUCGAGUGGUAGUCGAUUUUAUUGGGCCUAAAACGUCCGUCGCCGGUCUGGUGCAUUCGUGGGUAAAUCAACCCGCUCAACGGGUUGAAUUCUGCGAGCAUGGCCAGACUAGGGACCGGGAGAGGUGUGGGGUACGCUCGGGGUAGGGGUAAAAUCCUGUCAUCCCGAGCGGACCACCUGUUGCGAAGGCUCCACACUAGAACGGAUCCGACGGUCAGGGACGAAGCCUAGGGGCACGAACCGGAUUAGAUACCCGGGUAGUCCUAGGUGUAAACGCUGUGGACUUGGUGUUGGGAGCUCCCAGAGGGCUCUCAGUGCCGUAGCGAAGGUGAUAAGUCCACUGCCUGGGGAGUACGGUCGCAAGGCUGAAACUUAAAGGAAUUGGCGGGGGAACACCGC
rnacentral:rRNA from 1 species